GCCUGGGUGGCUCAGUCGGUUAAGCAUCUGAUUUCACCUCAGGUGAUGAUCUCACGGUAGGUGGGUUUGUGGGUUCGAGCCCCGCGCUGGGCU
rnacentral:tRNA from 1 species